rnacentral:tRNA from 1 species
AUUUUUGUAGUGUAACCCAAUAACACCUUACAUUUUCACUGUAAAAAUAAAGAAAAUUCUUUCAAAAAUU